AUUUUACGUAUUUCUAAAAAGAGCACUAGAGGUACGCUGGGAAAAAAUAUAUGUUUAAUUACACAUUUAAAAAAAAGUAUGUUAAACACAAGCAUACUUUUACAGAAGUUUUAGUGUAUUUAGAAAAAAACAUAUAUAUUUUUAAACAUGUACAUUAAUUUUAAUAGGCUAACAUUGCAAUUUCAACAUCAUAUCAUUGAACUUGAAUUAUAUAUUGAUUUUACAAAGUUAAUCCACAUAAAUUUGUUAGUGUUUAUAUUCAAACAACACACGUGACGGACCUGACUAAACCUCAUUGGUUCUUGGGAUUCAGUACGUCACAUUGGCUUCCUGAUUCUGUUGUUCGAUACACAACGUGCUUGAUCGUUGGUAAAUGUGGAUUAAAAGUUGAAACUAAAACUGUUAAAUUAUAUAUAGUGAUCAUCAGAGGACUUGGCUGAAACAACGCGAUUCACAUGGAUUACUUCGGCGAUAUUUUUUAUUGCUGUUGCGAUUAACUUUUUUUAAAUGUGAGCAGUUUUUAAGUAUCAAGUGGAUCUGACAUCGAGGGGAAAUAUACGUUUCUUGGAUUUCAUUAAAGUACAUCGGUUUUUGUUUGAAGAUGAAUGAGAGAACAUGAGGCACAGCGGCAUUCAAAUUGACCAAUCAGAGCCGAGAAUAUCUAAUAAGUCGAAGUAGAGAUGAACAGAUGAAGAUACAGCCCGUAAAAAUACUUAUUCUUGGUGAGUGCCAUGUAGCGACGGAUCAAACGGACACUCAUGUCAAGCUUGAUGAGGACACAGUCAAAGCUUUAAAAGACCUUGUGAUUAAGUCUUCAACGUCUGAAUGGCAAGAAGAAGUGACCGUCCACUUAAACGUGACAUUUAAACUGCUCUGUGUUUUGGUUCAGCCAUUUGCAGGUUUAUCUCGAGUUAGUUCAAAUGCACUUCUGCAUUUGUCCAGUAACUUUUUGUUUAGAGAAUUACAUCAUUAUGAUUAUAUAAUUAUUCAAUGGUUGCAUAUUCAUAGUGUACUUUUCAUAUUGAUGUAUUAAUGUUCCACAAUUUGAUAAAAGUAGCUCAUUGCAUUUCACUGAUCUUUGUUUUAUAUUGUAAAAUCAUUUCAAUAGCAGUAAAUACAUACUUAGUUGUUUCUUUAACAUUUAAUUAGUUGUUAAUGAUGGAAGAAACCGGUUCGUAUGUAUGAAUACAGAAUAGGUAUCAUUUUAGAAUGAGUUAAAACAUGUUUUGGUGGCAAACAUGCAGGUAAAAUAGUACAUAUAUAACAUUCUAAUAGUAAACUUGACUGUAAUUCAAAUGUCACAUACAGAACAUUAGAAAUGAUUUAUUUUAUGUAUACAAAUGUGUGGGCAAUAUAUUAUUAUUUCAUUUUGUAUGCUAUAUUAUUUAUGUAAUAUUAUUAUAUCUGAAAUUAUUAAAUUACAUUUAUAAGUGUUUAAA